rnacentral:lncRNA from 1 species
CCCAAGGAAAAAUUCAUAACAAAUUCAAUUUGGGUCGGUUUUACACCAAAUUCGACCAGGCCUUUGCUGAUGGUCUUAUGCCCAUUUGCAUCAAGAAAUAUCAACAAAAGGAGUCAAAGUCGUGGUCAUAUCAAGGGGCAUUCAACAACACACUUAUUUCUAGUCAAAAGUCUUAGUCUAUGUUUUUGAGUUUAUUUCGUUUCUUCUCUUAGUGAGAGAGAGAGUUCUUUAGCUAGUUCAUCGGUUUGAACUGGCUUGUUGAUUUGGUGGUCAGCCAAUCAUCUUUGUGUGUCGUUUGGUGGUUAGCCAACACACUACAUUCGUUCUUAGGUGGUUAGCCUUAGAUCGUGGGUAUAUCAAGAGCCAUUCCGCAUCUCUUGACGAUCCUUUCAAUCCAUCUCAGUUCCAGAAGUGCCGUUUGCCUUCUCGGAUCAUAUCCAACACCCAGCUAAAGUGAUCCUUCCUUAUUUUGGUUCUAUCAAGUGGUAUCAGAGCCACUUUGGCUGGUUUGUUUUCUUUCAUCUUUCAUCUUCUCAUCUCUCCACGUUUUUCUUUUCUUAUUUCUUGGAUCCGGGCUGUUCCUUUACUCCCUUGUGAUCGCCUAUUAUAUAAAAAAAAAAAAUCGAUAAAAAAGAAAAAAAAAGUUUUGGCUUGAAUCACCUUCUGAAGAGAAAUCCAGGGGGAGUGGUGGAAGAGAAACCCUGCUGGCUGAAGAGAAACCCAGCCUUAGGACAGUUAAGGCGGAUCCAUUUCAAAAAUCUCUUCAUCUUUCUUUCUCUUUUCUUUUUCCCACAAAAGUUUGUUUUGGGUUUUGAUUGCUGAAUUUUGACUGCCUAUCAUCCUUUGAACCAGUGGAAAGAACUCU